AUUGAACGCUGGCGGCAUGCCUUACACAUGCAAGUCGAACGGCAGCACGGGUGCUUGCACCUGGUGGCGAGUGGCGAACGGGUGAGUAAUACAUCGGAACAUGUCCUGUAGUGGGGGAUAGCCCGGCGAAAGCCGGAUUAAUACCGCAUACGAUCUACGGAUGACAGCGGGGGACCUUCGGGCCUCGCGCUAUAGGGUUGGCCGAUGGCGGAUUAGCUAGUUGGUGGGGUAAAGGCCUACCAAGGCGACGAUCAGUAGCUGGUCUGAGAGGACGACCAGCCACACUGGGACUGAGACACGGCCCAGACUCCUACGGGAGGCAGCAGUGGGGAAUUUUGGACAAUGGGCGAAAGCCUGAUCCAGCAAUGCCGCGUGUGUGAAGAAGGCCUUCGGGUUGUAAAGCACUUUUGUCAGGAAAGAAAUCCUUGGCCCUAAUACGGUCGGGGGAUGACGGUACCGGAAGAAUAAGCACCGGCUAACUACGUG
rnacentral:rRNA from 1 species